rnacentral:rRNA from 1 species
UACAGAGGUCUCAAGCGUUGUUCGGAUUCAUUGGGCGUAAAGGGUGCGUAGGUGGUGCCGCAAGUCAGGUGUGAAAUCUCGGGGCUCAACCCCGAAACUGCACUUGAUACUGCGGUGCUGGAGGACUGGAGAGGAGAUCGGAAUUCAUGGUGUAGCAGUGAAAUGCGUAGAUAUCAUGAGGAAGACCAGUGGCGAAGGCGGAUCUCUGGACAGUUCCUGACACUGAGGCACGAAGGCCAGGGGAGCAAACGGG